rnacentral:rRNA from 2 species
UGGGGAAUAUUGGGCAAUGGGCGAAAGCCUGACCCAGCGACGCCGCGUGAGGGAAGAAGGUCUUCGGAUUGUAAACCUUAAACAACAGGGACGAAACAAAUGACGGUACCUGUUAGGAAGCCACGGCUAACUACGUGCCAGCAGCCGCGGUAAUACGUAGGUGGCAAGCGUUAUCCGGAUUUACUGGGUGUAAAGGGUGUGUAGGCGGAGAGGCAAGUCAGACGUGAAAACUAUGGGCUCAACCCAUAACUUGCGUUUGAAACUGUUUCCCUUGAGUGUCGGAGAGGUAAAUGGAAUUCCCAGUGUAGCGGUGAAAUGCGUAGAUAUUGGGAGGAACACCGGUGGCGAAGGCGGUUUACUGGACGACAACUGACGCUGAGACACGAAAGUGUGGGGAGCAAACAGG